AAAGAGUGCUUUACGAUAAAAAAUUUUUUUUCGCCUCCUUUGUACAACUAUUUCUGUUAUUAUCGUCUUUCUUUACCCCUCUCCUGCAAAAAUUCUGUUGUCAGCAAUGUCUUAAUUCAUUGGCUGAGACAGUCCCUCAUAUAUUUAUUGUAUUCGUAUAAAUACCGACCGAAAAUUUGAUUUUAUAUCCACUGUCUUGAUCGUAACUUCGGAGACAACUUAAAUAUUUUCUAGCCUAAUUAAUAAUCAACUGAAGAUUCAACUGAGUUAUCAUUCAAAAAUGUCGAAGAUACUGUUUGGAAUAAUCGGCAUUUUGGUCGUCAUUGCAAUUAUGCAAGUGACCGUUGAAGCCUGUAUAGGGUCAGGAGAAGCUUGUAAUAAUGAUUACGAAUGCUGUGGGAGCUUAACAUGUCAUGGGUAUUAUAAUGGAGUAUGGUUUGAAGACCGAUGUGCGUAACUUCGUCCAGCCGGAUGGUAAUAAAUCGCAUGUUGUUAACAGUAAAAUAAUAAUUUGGUGGUAAAAUUUAUCAAGAGUCGAAGACAUCUAAAAAAAAUUUUUAUUUCUUGAAAGUUAAUUAUUUGUAACCCGAAUUAUUUUUACAUGCAA